AAAUGAUACGCUAUUACUAGGACGAUAGUGAUAUCAAGUACAGGUCGUUAUGUGCCAUAUGAGUUGAUUGUCCUCUUAAUCAAGGAGUGUAGUGACACUGUUAUAGCAUGUAAAUAGAAUGUAAGAGUACAUUGACAUCGAAUGUGACUAUAUGCCGAGCACUCUGCUGUCAAGAGUAACUUAUAAAGGAUAUGAAUAUAAGUAUCCCUCC
rnacentral:lncRNA from 1 species